GCAGGCUCUGCGGUGCCGGCCGACCCCGGAAGCGUGUCUGUUCCGAGCGGAGGCGCGGGUCGCGGGUGCGGUGCUGAGAGCGCUUGCCUGUGCGCCCCGAGCGGGGCUGGGACUCUUCCAAGAUGCCCACGUUCGCACAGAGACCUCGGAUCGCGGAAGCUCGCGUCUCAAAACGCCUGUGGGUCAAGGGUGUCCAUCUCGGGAGGGGUUCUUGGGUUUGUAACGUCUUAACAUCGCUGAUCGACCACAGCUGUGCAGGAGGGGCAGUAGGUAUCUGUUGCUACAGUUACCGGAACCUUUGCCAGGACUAGUGCAGAACCACGGGCUGGCAGCUCAGGGAGGGAUGUCUUGUCUGUUACAACUGCAAGCUCUCCAGUAAAGAAGGAAUUUCCUCUUCUACACAGCUGGUUUUUCAUUGGUGCUGCUUGCCCAUUCCCUGAGCUGUGACUGCCCAAGGAGUGGGAGGUUGGUGGUGCCUCCAGCCAAUCAGGGGCAGACCCCGGGGCUGCCUGGGAACAGGACUAUGGCACAAACUGAAUGAGUGCUGGGAGCAACCCACAGGGCUCUGCGCAUGCACGUCUUCCUUCACUGACAUGAAAUGCAGAAAAGGCAGCUUUGCCACAGCACAGCAGAAUGCACAGAACGUGGCCGCCCAAGGCUCUGUCCUUGACCCUGUUGUCCAGAAGCCAUUUACCAAAGGCUCACAGGCACUGAGUGCCCCGUGCACAUAGCCAGACACUGCACUCAUGCAGCGGAAAGGACAGUGAAUGAGACUUGGUCCCUGGCCUCCAAAGUCAUAGGGCGUAGCGGCUGUCAUCAGGCACUGACGAGGGCCAGGAGGGGGACCUCUUA